CACGUAGGGCGCAAGCGUUGUUCGGAUUUACUGGGCGUAAAGGGCGCGUAGGCGGUCGUGACAAGUCACUUGUGAAAUCUCCGGGCUUAACUCGGAACGGUCAAGUGAUACUGUCGGACUAGAGUACAGAAGGGGCAACUGGAAUUCUCGGUGUAGCGGUGAAAUGCGUAGAUAUCGAGAGGAACACCUGCGGCGAAGGCGGGUUGCUGGGCUGAUACUGACGCUGAUGCGCGAAAGCCAGGGGAGCGAACGGG
rnacentral:rRNA from 1 species